AGGUAACGCCUGCCCAGUGAGGACCCUCCCCCUUAAACGGCCGCGACAUAACCGUGUAAAGGUAGCACAAUCACUUGCCCCUUAAAUAGAGGCUAGUAUGAACGGCUUCAUGAGAAAGUGACUGUCUCUUAGGACUGAUCUAUGAAACUUAUCUCCUCGUACAAAAGCGAGAAUAAAAAAAUAAGACAAAAAGACCCUGUGAAGCUUAAAAUCAAACUUCAACCACAGUGAUGUACAUUUUUAGUUGGGGCAACUAGAAGGAAACAAAACCCUUCAAAAUGUAAAGGCCAACAAGCCUAAACAGCAAAAACUAUGACCCGAUAAAAUCGAACAAAGAACCAAGCUACUCCAGGGAUAACAGCACCACAUUCUUGCAGAGUCUAUAUCAACAAGAAUACCUACGACCUCGAUGUUGGAUCAGGAUAUCCUGAUGGUGCAGAAGCUAUCAAGGGUCCGUUUGUUCAACGGUUAAAAUCCUACGUGAUCUGAGUCA
rnacentral:rRNA from 1 species